CCUACGGGAGGCAGCAGUCGAGAAUCAUUCACAAUGGGGGAAACCCUGAUGCUGCGACGCCGCGUGGGGGAAUGAAGGCCUUCGGAUGGUAAACCCCUGUCAUGUGGGAGCAAAUUAUAAAGAUAGUACCACAAGAGGAAGAGACGGCUAACUCUGUGCCAGCAGCCGCGGUAAUACGGAGGUCGCAGGCGUUGUUCGGAAGCACUGGGCGUAAAGCGUGCGUAGGCUGUUUCGCAAGUCGGGUGUGAAAGGCGCGGGCUCAACCCGCGAACGGCAGAUGAUACUGCGAGACUAGAGUAAUGGAGGGGGAGGCGGAAUUCUAGGUGUAGCAGUGAAAUGCGUAGAUAUCGAGAGGAACACUCGUGGCGAAGGCGGGUUCCUGGACAUUAACUGACGCUGAGGCACGAAGGCGAGGGGAGCGAACGGGAUUAGAUACCCCGGUAGUC
rnacentral:rRNA from 1 species